GAUGAACGCUGGCGGCGUGCCUAAUACAUGCAAGUCGAGCGAACAGACGAGGAGCUUGCUCCUCUGACGUUAGCGGCGGACGGGUGAGUAACACGUGGAUAACCUACCUAUAAGACUGGGAUAACUUCGGGAAACCGGAGCUAAUACCGGAUAAUAUAUUGAACCGCAUGGUUCAAUAGAUAAAGACGGUUUUGCUGUCACUUAUAGAUGGACCCGCGCCCAAUUAGCUAGUUGGUAAGGUAAAGGCUUACCAAGGCAACGAUGCUUAGCCGACCCGAGAGGUUGAUCGGCCACACUGGAGCUGAGCCACGGUCCAGAUUCCUACGGGAGGCAGCAGUAGGGAAUCUUCCGCACUGGGCGAAAGCCUGACGGAGCAACGCCGCGUGAGUGAUGAAGGUCUUCGGAUCGUAAAACUCUGUUAUUAGGGAAGAACAAAUGUGUAAGUAACUAUGCACGUCUUGACGGUACCUAAUCAGAAAGCCACGCCUAACUACGU
rnacentral:rRNA from 1 species